AGCAGCCGCGGUAAUUCCAGCUCCAAUAGCGUAUAUUAAAGUUGUUGCAGUUAAAAAGCUCGUAGUUGAAUUUCGGGAUUGGCGCAUCGGUCGUGCCUCACGGGGUAUGAACUGGUGCAGUCAAUUUCUCACCUUCUGGAGAACCGCGAUGUCCUUAAUUGGAUGCCGCGGGGAACCAGGACCUUUACUUUGAAAAAAUUAGAGUGUUUAAAGCAGGCAUUUUUGCUUGAAUACAUUAGCAUGGAAUAAUAAAAUAGGACGGCAUGGUUCUAUUUUGUUGGUUUCUAGGACCACCGUAAUGAUUAAUAGGGAUAGUUGGGGGCAUUAGUAUUCAAUUGUCAGAGGUGAAAUUCUUGGAUUUAUUGAAGACUAACUACUGCGAAAGCAUUUGCCAAGGAUGUUUUCAUUAAUCAAGAACGAAAGUUAGGGGAUCGAAGACGAUCAGAUACCAUCGUAGUCUUAACCAUAAACUAUGCCGACUAGGAAUCAGACGA
rnacentral:rRNA from 1 species